rnacentral:rRNA from 1 species
UGGUCCUAACCUUAAAAUCAGUUUUUACUCAAUUUAUACAUGCAAGUCUCCGCACCCCUGUGAGAACGCCCUUACUUCCUGCCAGGAACAAGGAGCUGGUAUCAGGCACAAUUUUUGGCCCAAGACACCUAGUUUGACCACACCCACAAGGGUACCCAGCAGUAACUAACAUUGAGUAUAAGCGACAGCUUGACUCAGUUAGAGUAAAUAGGGCCGGCAAAUCCGGUGCCAGCCGCCGCGGUUACACCACGAGGCCCAAAUUGAUCUUUUACGGCGUAAAGCGUGAUUAAAGUUAUUAACACAAUUAUAGUUGUACCGAAACUAAGCCGUAGCACGCUUGUCUCUCAGAAAAACAAAAACGAAAGUUACUAUAUAUAUACCAACUUGAACCCACGACAGCUGGGAGACAAACUGGGAUUAGAUACCCCACUAUGCCCAGCCGUAAACUUUAAAUUACACCCAUAUCGCCAGGGAACUACGAGCC